AGAUAAAAUUACACGAGAUGUGAAUAUAUAUAAGCUAAUUACAAUCUAUUAUAAUUAGCUUAUAUAUAUUCACAUCUCGUGUAAUU
rnacentral:miRNA from 1 species